rfam:Bombyx mori DNA, contig: Bm_scaf21_contig14941, strain: p50T/Dazao, build 2, whole genome shotgun sequence.
UUAACUUGAAUUUGUGACGAGUCGGAACGUUUGCCUACGUUUGCCGCUAGGGGCGCUGUUCUAACUGCAUACAAAUUUGAAUUA